GUCUUUGUGGCGCAAUAGGUUAGCGCGUUCGGCUGUUAACUGUAAGGUUGGUGGAUCAAGCCUACCCAGGGACG
rfam:Danio rerio chromosome 4, GRCz11 reference primary assembly.